rnacentral:rRNA from 1 species
AACGGCCAUACCAUGCUGAAUAUACCGGUUCUCGUUAGAUCACCGAAGUCAAGCAUCAUUGGGCGCGGUCAGUACUUCUGGGUGGGUGACCACCUGGGAAAACCGCGUGCCGUU